UACGUAGGGGGCAAGCGUUGUCCGGAUUUAUUGGGCGUAAAGAGCGUGUAGGCGGCCAGGUAGGUCUGCUGUGAAAACUCGAGGCUUAACCUCGAGCUGUCGGCGGAAACCAUCUGGCUAGAGUCCGGAAGAGGAGAAUGGAAUUCCCGGUGGUAGCGGUGAAAUGCGCAGAUAUCGGGAAGAACACCCGUGGCGAAGGCGGUUCUCUGGGACGGUACUGACGCUGAGACGCGAAAGCGUGGGGAGCGAACAGG
rnacentral:rRNA from 1 species